rnacentral:rRNA from 1 species
GACGAACGCUGGCGGCGUGCUUAACACAUGCAAGUCGAGCGGAGCGGCGGACGGGUGAGUAAUGCCUAGGAAUCUGCCUGGUAGUGGGGGAUAACGUCCGGAAACGGGCGCAAAUACCGCAUACUAUCAGAUGAGCCUAGGUCGGAUGAGCUAGUUGGUGGGGUAAAGGCCUACCAAGGCGACGAUCCGUAACGUGUCUGAGAGGAUGAUCAGUCACACUGGAACUGAGACACGGUCCAGACUCCUACGGGAGGCAGCAGUGGGGAAUAUUGGACAAUGGGCGAAAGCCUGAUCCAGCCAUGCCGCGUGUGUGAAGAAGGUCUUCGGAUUGUAAAGCACUUUAAGUUGGGAGGCGUUACCAGCAGAAUAAGCACCGGCUAACUUCGUGCCAGCCGCCGCGGUAAUAC